rnacentral:rRNA from 1 species
CCCUUAGAUGUUCUGGGCCGCACACGCGCUACGCUGGCAGGUUCAUCGAGCUUCAUGCCCUGAUCUGAGAAGAACGGGAAAUCUUUGAACACCUGCCGUGCUUGGGAUAGAUGUUUGCAAUUAUUCAUCUUCAACGAGGAUUGCCUUGUAAGCGCACGUCAUCAGCGUGCAUUGAAUACGACCCUGUAUUCUGUACACACCGCCCGUCGCUCCUACCGAUUGAAGUUUUCGGUGAAUUUACUGGAGAUCCCUUUUGAAGGUGGUUCGCCACUGGAAGAAGUAUUCAAAAGUAAAUGAAUCGAAUGCUUUAGAGGAAGGAGAAGUCGUAACA